UCGUGAUUCUUUGAUAUUUGAACUAAAAUACAGACUACUACAGUCGUACACAGUUCUAUUCAUACGUUUUAGUAUAAAAUCACCAUGCGAAAGUGUAUUCUUUUUAGUAAAACAUCCAAAGUAUCGCCUCGUCACAUUGCGUUAAUUUUCAUUUUUUUCCAAAAAAUCAAAAUAGAAGGAAAUAAUGGCUAAACAUCUUCAAAUUAAAUGAUUAUCCCAAUUUCUAUCUGGCAUAGUAUCUGCGGUAAUCAUUUCACAAUUAGUGAUUGUAAACAAUGCUCUCAAAACUUAAUCCAAACCAUUUGUCUGAUAAGAGAAGUUAAAUAAAUUUUAGUAACUUACAGCGUCAUUGGUACUACUCUGAGCACGAAUAGUAAAUCGCAUUUAAGAGAAAAUUGUGUUUUGAAUGAAGGUAUCGGUCGUGCUACGCUGUGCCGCUGCGAUGGUAGACAACGGUGUUGUCUCCAGUAAUCAAUGAAAUAGAAGGAAACAAUGGCUAAAAAUCUUUGAAUUAAAUGAUUAUACCAAUGUCUACCUGGCAAAGAUUCUGCGGUAAUCAUUUCACAAUUAAUGAUUGUGAACAAUGCUUAGUAAGCUAGUAAACAUGGCCAGAGGCUGUCUCAAAACAUAAUCCAAACCACUUAUCUGGGAUAGAGAAGUAAAAUACAUUUUAGUAAUUUACAGCAACAUUGGUACUACUUUGAGCACGAUUAGUAAAUCGUAUCUAAGAGAUAAAAUUCAUUUAACAUAAUUCAUGAAUUAGGUAGGUAUUUGUAUAUUUUGAAAAUUAUAUUUCUCCAACGAUGGGUUUGAAGAAAAUGAACAGACAAAUAAAGGAUUUGGAGACGUUAAAGUUGAAGAAUUUGAUUCAUCCCGAAAAGCCUUAGAUACUUAAUAAUGUCUAAUUCUCAUACACUUAUUUCAUACAGUAGAUUAUACUUAUAGUUUUCAAAACUGAAAUAUAUGAUGUACCACAUACAAGAAACUAGGAAUUCGAGCCAAUGUAUUGACAAUUUUUCAAACGUUGACUUUCUUGAAGAUAAUUCUGCCGACUGAGAUUAAGCCGUACAAUAUUGGAGCGAAUUUUGAAAUUUAAAGGCCAUACAAUUUUGCUGCUCAAGAAUCUAAUUUCAAUAACACAGAGUGCCUCAACAUAUUUAAAUUGCAAAGAAACACAUAACUAGUUUGGACUUUAGUAGCUUUUCUGAAAGGAAAUUGAAUAUAGUUGGAUAACAGAAUUGAAACACAUAUUUUGCUUGUGUCUUGUUCUGAACAAUUGGAUCAAAAGCCACAUUCAGCUGUUAUCACACAUAUCAUUUGUGAUAUCGUAAUCAUUGUACAAGAUUUUUGGACAAACCUGGCUUCACCUGUCAGAAUGUUGCCAAAGCUGUGUGGUGAGCUGUGAAAAGAUAUAUUAUAUUGAAGAUGUUGCUGAUAGGCUGUUAAAAACUUUGAGGUGUCCUACAAAGUUUACUGGUCAUCAAACCUGUUCCCAUUCAUGGAAUUUACUUCUUUGGAAGAGCAAACACCAAUUACCUUCAGUUGCACUGUGAAUCAUAAUUCCUCACUGGUGAUCUGAUUGUUGAGCAUAGGCGGUCCCCAGAUUUUACUUCAGGUACAGCAUAGAUGGCUAAUUUCUAGAGAAGUAAAAUACAUUUUAGUAAUUCACAGAAACAUUGGUACUACUCUGAGCACGACUAGCAAAUUAUAUCUAAGAGAAAAUUGUGUUUCUCUAACGAUGAGUUAGAAGAAAAUGAACAGACAAAUAAAGAAUUUGGUAUCGCCAACCACAGCAAGAGGACCGUAGAUAUAUACUCCCUGUAUUAUGGUGAUAACCUAACUUAACCACAACAACAUAAUAUUAUUUUAUUGUUCACCGACUUUUGAAUCAUUUGAUUAGGUAUUUAAAAUUUGAACAGAAAUACAGACUACAUUCGUAUAGAGUUGUAUUUAUAUGUCUUAGGACAAAAUCUUCAUUCAUAAGUGUAUUCUUUUUAGUAAAACAUCCAAAAUAUCGCCUUGCCACAUUACCUUAAUUUUCAUUUUCAUUUUUAGUUCUACUGAUUAUAUAAGAAGACUGAGCGAACACCAAUUACCUUCAGUUGCACUC